UUUUUUUUUUUUUUUUUUUUUUUUGUUGAAAGGACCCGUAUUGCGCUUAGGCGCCCACAUGUCAAAAUAGGUAUAGCCCGGCUAUACUAUUUUUUAAAAAAAUUUAAAAACCGAGUAUCGCCGACCGGCUAUACCAUUUUGUUUUAAAAAGGGAGGGCUCCCUAGCGAUUAGCCGCCUACGUGUCAAAACAAGUGCAGCCGUCCGGCUACAGUAUUUUAAAAAAAAAAAUUAAACAAAAAACAAUAGUACGGCCGCACAGCUAUACUAUAUCCUCCAAAAAACUUUUUAAAAUGUAGUAUAGCCGUGCGGCGAUACUAUUUCAGUUGUACCUGCCAAAAGAGUAUAGCCACGCGGCUAUACUAUUGUCAGAAACAUGAAUAAAACCGAGUAUCACAGAGAUUGCAGACUUACUUCUUCAAGAAGGCAGCAUCGAAUCUCCCGAACAAUACAUCAUUAAGGCUCAAAGAGUGGAGGAGUGCUUGAGUUUGAUAUUUAAACUUGGAAUUGCAUGUUCUGCUGAAUCCCCCGCGAACCGAAAGGAUAUCAGUGAUGUUGCAUGUGAAUUACAUUCCAUCAGGGAUAUGCUUCUUGGUUAGAAACUUUUCCUACUUUCCUACUCUACAUAUCAAGGAAAGAAUCAGUGGCGCCUGCUGCUCAAGGCUUGGUCAUCACUUUUUUUUCUUCUGUUUUUUAUGCUGUUUGUUCUUACAGUUUCUUGUGAGGAAUUUCACUGUGUUUGUUCAGCAUAUUAUUAUUAUAUUCUACUUGUGUAGAUGAAAUUAUGAGGAAAUCCAGAAUCCUUGCAACCAUGUGAGAGCUGAGCUGCCUAUUGGCCAAGUUGAUGAACCCGACUUGUGUUAGUUUGGACCACAUUUCAAUUCAUGAAAAUAACAUUAUGAUUGGCAGCCAAUAGUGGUUUUUUCAUGUCGAUCCUAAUCUUCGUAAAUUAUUGGGAUUUUGUUUUCUUGCAAUCAAGGUUUUUGAUGAUAUCAUCUUGGCACAAUGUAGGUAUUCUUGUUCCCUAUCUUUUCACCAUGAUGGAAAAUGUGCUCUUUCUAGCAAAUAAGAAAACCGAGAGUUGGGGACCUUGACCACACCCAUCCUCAAUUUUUUAUAAACAACUAAGUAGCAUGUCACCAUCUCAUAUAAGUUCUUUGGUUUCACACCAUCUUCUCUCUCUUUCACUCCUUAGUUACCAGUUACCUGUUGGGUUCUUAUAAUGUAACUAGAUUUUAUUUCUUAUAGCCUUAGGUGGUGAUCAAAGUCAAGAAUGGGAGCUGGCCUAAUGCGUUUUGUUUAGAGGUGUUUACUUUGACGUACGUUUCAGCGCACGGAUUUAAUUGGUACCAGCCUAGUGGGGCUGUUCUACUUCCACUCAGCUUCUGGUGAAGCACUGACUUUGCUGUCUUAGCUGCCCAGAAACUUCUCCCACCCACAACAGUUGUGACCAAUUGGAAAACAAGUCCACUGUGAUCCUCAUUUUCUUGGGACUUUUUUCUCAUAUAAUAAUAUUUUACUAAUUUUCCACAACCAUUAGCUGUGAUGUAGCUUCUUCCAUUCCUGUCGUAAUAAAUUAAUUUGCCAUGUCUCAAAUGGAACUUAGCAAUUUCACAACCCAAUUCUUCUUCUUCUUCUUCUUCUUCUCUCUCUCUCUCUCUCUCUCUCUCUCUCUCUCUCUCUCUCUCUCUCUCUCUCUCUCUCUUGUUAAUCACCCAAAUCAAAAUGGUUGUUAAAUUGAUCUUAGCACACUCACUAUUUACUGCAAUGUUCAUUUGUUGUUGGAGCUCCAUGCAUUUGAACUAUCCCAUAACCACAAACCGGUACAGAUUGGGACUUGGAGGAAAUGAGAGGAUAGGCUGGCACUGCUAGCCAUCAUAGCUCAAAUAAAGCAGGAUCCUCAUCAACUCUUGAGCUCCUGGAAUGAAUCCAUCCACUUUUGUCUAUGGCACGGUGUCACUUGCAGUCGUCGACAGCAUCAGAGGGUCUCUAUGCUAGACCUACAGUCCCAAAACUUGGCAGGAUCCAUAUCCCCACAUAUAGGAAAUCUGAGCUUCCUAAGGGAACUAUACCUCCAAAACAACAGCUUUACUCAUGAAAUCCCUUCAGAAAUUGGGCAUUUGCAUAGGUUAAAGAUUUUACGUCUAGACCAAAACUUACUUAGUGGCCCUGUUCCUGCCAAAAUAUCCAAUUGCAUCAACCUCAUCUUUAUCCAUUUUGGUGAUAACAGGUUGGUGGGUAAGAUUCCUUCAGAAAUCUGCACCUUGUCAAAGCUUCAAAAACUUGUUUUACAAUCCAAUAAUUUCACAGGAGAAAUCCCUCCUUCCUUGGGUAACCUUUCGUCUCUCGAGAUACUUGGUGCUACUUAUAAUAACUUGUUGGGAAGCAUCCCUACCUCUCUAGGCCAGUUGAAAAAAUUAACAAGGUUUGCAAUGGAUUCAAAUAACUUGUCAGGUACUAUCCCUCCUUCCUUCUAUAACCUCUCUGCUCUCGUUAUUUUUUCCCUAGCAAUAAAUCAAUUUCAAGGGAGUAUUCCUUCGGACUUGGCUAAAACUCUUCCUAAUCUUCAAACAUUUGAAUUUCACACGAACCAGUUUACGGGAUCAAUUCCUUCAUCAAUAUCCAAUGCCACAAGUCUAGUGGCAUUUGAAGUUUCAAAUAACAAACUGACUGGACAGGUUCCAAAUUUGGAAAGGCUUCAUAACCUUGUGAAUUUUAACAUCCAAUUUAAUCAUCUUGGAAGCGGUCAACAUGGUGACUUGAGAUUUGUCUCAGAUUUGUGCAAUGCCACAAGGUUAAACAAUUUUGGCGGGACAUUACCCGCUUCAAUAGCCAACCUCUCAACCACGCUUGAAGUUCUUGUGGUUCAAAGAAACAAGCUACAUGGAAGCAUACCAGCUGGGAUAGGGAAUCUGGUCAACUUGGAAUUCUUGGCUCUUGGGGAAAAUUCCUUCACAGGUAGCAUCCCCACAGACUUUGGGAAGCUUUCAAUGGUUGAGGAAAUAGAUCUUCAAGUCAACCAGUUAUCAGGAACCAUUCCAUCUUCUUUUGGAAACUUAACCAAGUUAUCCGCACUGGGAAUGCAAGGGAAUAAUCUUCAGGGAAGCAUCGGGGUGCUAGGGGGUUGCCUUGGACUGCAACAAAUGUAUGCUUCUCAAAAUAACUUUAGUGGCCCAAUACCUCAACAACUUCUUGGCCUCCCUUCCUUAUCAAUCUAUUUGGACUUGUCUAAAAACCACUUUACUGGUUCCCUUCCCAUGGAGGUUGGGAAGUUGAACAAUCUAGGUGCAUUGGAUGUUUCUGAUAACUUGUUAUCAGGAGAACUUCCCAAUAGCCUUGGUAGUUGUAUACAUCUAGAAGUCCUACACUUGCAGGGUAGUGGAGAUGUCUACAGCUUUGGCAUUCUCUUGUUAGAGAUGUUUACGGGAAGGAGACCCACUGACCACAUGUUUAGUGAUGGCUUGAACCUUCAUAAUUUUGUGAAGACGGCUUUUCCCGAUCGAGUCACAGAGAUUGCAGAUUUACUUCUUCAAGAAGGCAGCAUCGAAUCUCCCGAACAAGACAGCAUUAAGGCUCAAAGAGUAACUUGGAAUUGCAUGUUCUGUUGAAUCCCCUGCGAACCGAAAGGAUAUCAGUGAUGUUGCAUCUGAAUUACAAAUUCAUUCCAUCAGGGAUAUGCUUCUUGGUUAGAAACUUUUCCUACUUUCCUACUCUACAUAUCAAGGAAAGAAUCAGUGGCGCCUGCUGCUUAAGGCUUGGUCAUCUUUUUUGUUUUUUCUUCUGUUUUUUAUGUUGUUUGUUCUUACAGUUUCUUGUGAGGGAUUUCACUGUGUUUGUUCAGCAUAUUAUUAUUAUUAUAUUCUACUAAAUUAUGAGGAAAUCCAGAAUCCUUGCAACCAUGUGAGAGCUGAGCUGCCUAUUGGCCAAGUUGAUGAACCCGACUUGUGUUAGUUUGGACCACAUUUCAAUUCAUGAAAAUAACAUUAUGAUUGGCAGCCAAUAUAGUGGUUUUUUCAUGUCGAUCCUAAUAUUUGUAAAUUAUUGGGAUUUUGUUUUCUUGCAAUCAAAGGUUUUUGAUGAUAUCAUCUUGGCAAAAAUUAGGUAUUCUUGUUCCCUAUCUUUUCACCAUGAUGGAAAAUGUGCUCUUUCAAUCAAAUAAGACAACCGAGAGUUGGAGACCUUGACCAUACCCAUCCUCAAUUUUUUUCAUAAACAACUAAGCAGCAUGUCACCAUCUCAUAAAAGUUUUUUGGUUUCACACCAUCUUCUCCCUUUCACUCCUUAGUUACCAGUUACCUGUUGGGUUCAAUCUAUAUAUUCCAUUAUAAGGUACCGAGAAACUGUUACGUUAUGCGCGACUAACAAUAGCAUUUUUCAAUUCGUGCAUACAAAAUAUAUAUAUAUAUAUAUAUAUAUAUAUGCAAAGGCAAAAACCACCUAAAAUACAAGCAGAUGGUUACAAGUUACUUUUUGGGUUUAAUUUAUAUAUUCGAGCUACCAUACAACAUAUACAAAGGUCAACAAACACCAUCUAAGUUUGAAAACCAAUAGAUUCGUAGAUCAAGCAUUUAAAAUGUACAAUUACAACAAGACCACCCUCACAACACUAUUUAUAUGUAAUACAAUCUGAGUAUCUAAGAACCACACAUCAAAAUUAUAAAACAAUUGCAAGCAUCUUCCUCGUAAUUAUCUUAACAGAGCAGAGUAGAUCAAUUUAACCAUGAACAGAGGCGUAUCGGUUGAUCAAAGCCAAGGCAUUGCUAGUCAAUUGUGCUAUAUUCACAAUCCGGCCUCUCACAGCAGUCUUCAAAUUCCCAUUCAUCCCAUUUCCACCAAACCCCUCAGAACAUGUGUUCUCAUCUGUCAAAGCAGCACUAACCCAAGUUUGGACAUCACUUAUCAUGAGCUGAAAAUCAUAGCUUUUGAAGUUACCCAUCUCAGCUAUAGAACUCUGGAGCUCGUCCACCGAGUCACUUAACUCUUCGAGGCAGUCUCUCAUGGCACCAACUUCUUUAGGCUUCAAGCCAUGGCUUUGGGAGAGUUUUAGCAUCACGGCAGAGGUGGAUUUGGCAGAGGAAAGUGUCACAUUAAGGGCUGCACCAGCCAUGAGCUUAGGACUUGUUUGGAUUGUGCUUGCAUGGCUUGAGAGAGAGGUGAGGCAGAGUUUAGGGUAGGUUGUUGCACUGCAAGAUGUUUUGAUGAAUUCAGUGUUGGUUUUUGGUGCAAGGUCUCUGGCUGCUGAGGUUGAGGAGAUUAUGCAGAAACUAAUGGAAAGUGCUGUGAGAAAACAUGUGGCAAAAUGUGUAGAAGAUGAAGAAGACUCCAUCUUGAUAUUUUUGUGUCUCUGAAUAUUGGAGGCAGUGGAGGGAGUGAUGAGAGUAGGGAGGGAAAUGUGCCAAUUUAUAGAACCCAAGUUCGAAAAAAACAACAAAAUCCCUAAAAUAAAAUAAUAUUGAUGAUAAUAAUAAAAAAUUCUAGCAGCCUCAAAAUGAAUAUGGAAAAAUCUUGUCGGGGGGGCCAAAAGCCGAGAUACAUCUACUCUUUAACAUAAUAUGAAGUAGCAAGUUGGUUUCUUUGGUUUCUCAACUUGCUGCAACAAGUUGGUCGAUUUGGGUCUAAAAGCAAAAGCAAAUGUGAAACAAAAGAGCCUUGGUCUCCUACUCAUCUAAACCUUCAUAAUCAAAUCAAUCGCACCCAAAGUUGAUGGGUGAGCCAGUCGACUGCUGUGUGUAUCUGUAUUUUUGCAACUUGAGCGUUUUUGGUCGACAUGUAUAACAAUAAAAAUCUCUCCCCUUAAAAGAAGCACUCCAAAAGGGAUUUAAUGCAUGCAAGAGUCCAAAGGGCCAAUCAAGAUCAGGUGGAGAUUGAUUGGAGUGGAGUGGAAGGCUCCAAACGGUACUAUUUUUUAUUUGAAAAUAUUUUUGGCUGAUUAUUUUUAAUACUUGACACGUGUUUAUAAGUAUAAUAAUUGUUAACUUUAUGGAUCUAUUGUUAUGCAUAUGAACACGUUUUAAGUGUUGAGAAAUGUCAUGAGGAUAAAUCUUGAGUUAAAAUUGUAAGAAAAAUGCUUAUUUAUUUAUUUAUUUAAAUUUUAUAAGAUUAUAGAAAAAUUUGGGCCCAGACAAAAACAAAGCUUCAUCUUUGGGCCUACUCUAUAACUAAGCUUCAUGAUUUUUAUUGAUGAUACAGCACACGUGAUGGUCCAAACAAAAUAAAAAUAAAAACAAAAACUUGAGUUAUGCCUAUCCCUUCUCAACGCGAAUCUAUGAUGCUCAUUGGCCUAAUUAUCAACAACAGCAAACCAAACCAUGUGCAGACUGCAAACUAGAAAAGAAAUGAACUUUUAAAAACAGCAAUAUUGCACAAGUCAAAAGAUGGCAUUUUAUAAUUUAAUAUAAUGAACGAAUUAAACUAUUGAGUUCCAUUUUCUCAAUAAACAAACCAAUUUCGAUGCUUUUCACGUAACACAGUUGGAACUUGUUUGUUACAUAGCCCAUAUAACCGGAAAUUCAAACACAUGCAUUUCUGGUAACUUAGUUGAAUGUUAUCUACUAAUUCACCACAAAUCAUGGUCAUGUGAAGUGGGAAUAUUAAGAGGAGGCUAAGUUUUUUUGGGGGGUUACAUAACUUGUUAUUGUUCUCGGACAAAAAAAAUACGAAGCACAAUUUGUUUCAUCAAUAGUCUAUCGUUUAGUAUCUAAUUAUGUCUAGUUUUUUUGCGUUAGUGUAAGUUUUAUGAAUAUAAGAGAUAGUCUAAACUAAAAUGGAAAGGAUGGUUUCUCACAUGACACUACUACUAGCCUAGAUCCCGUUAAUUGCAAUGAUUAAAUUUUCUGUAGCUGGAUUGGGCUAAAUAUUUUGUUUUGCCAACAAAAAUGAUUGGGAAUUUGGAUGAACCGUUACAUUAUUUUACUACACGUUUUCAAGAAAUUAACGGAAAAACGUAAUCCCUGUUUUCUUCCAUAAAUUAUGGGAUUUGGAAGUUAAGUUAACGGGUACAUAGUGUAGCCGCCUUGAUCACUCGCACGUUGAAGUGUAAGAUUCUUAUUCAAAUGCAAAUAAUGCAAACAUACACGUGGAAAAUGACAAGUGGCUAGACACCUGUGGUUGCAGCAAUGUUGAAGUUGGCAGAAUCGUAGAGAAUCAAGACCGUAGGCAAGUCCACAUCUCUCAACAGAAACACCGCCUAUCGUCCAGCAGCGUUUCACGCUACACUUACAAUGCAUGCGGACAUGUGUUUUGCCUGCACGUUCUUGUUCGGUUUUGACUUCUGAAACGUGAAUGAUUCGUGUCCAUAUCUGUUAGGGUAGCCACAUGGCACACCUUAGGCCCAUGCUGCCGUAUAUCCUCACUUCCAGUAAACAAAUUCAAUACACUUUCUUUUCCGUAUAUCCUCACGUAUUUCAUCUCAUUUUUUCCUUGCAAUUACAUUAACCUCAAAUGCUUCUUUCAUAGUUUUUCUUUAAUAUAAGUGAUUUUCUAUUUUAAUUUUACAGGAAAGGGGAUUCGAACUUGGAUACAUAGUGGAGAAUACAUCCGUUCUAGCCAAUUUAACUAAAUUCAUGUCCACGCUUCUUUGAUAGUUAAAUCAAUUUUAAACAUUAACAAUAUUAAAAUUGAAGCAAAGUCUCUUCAAUCUAUACCAAUUAAGUAUUCUAAGCCGGCAGAGUGAGAAUGAUUUAAUUUUGAUUUCAAAAGUGCAAAGGUGGCUAUUGUUGUAAGCCUUUGAAUUAAGUAUGUUUUGACAAGAAUUACCAAUUUAGCACCCGUUUAUGCACAUAGGUUAUUUGGUCCUUUGGGAUCAUUCUCCAAGAUAUUCUCCCUUGUUUUUGUUCAUAUGUUUUUAUCUACAUUAUUAGCUCUUAAAUUUUAAUUAUUUUUUAUCUGUUGGGUCUGGCGCAAGAUCCAAAACGUACACUCAAGCUAGCAAAUGAACAUGCGCCAUAUCAUCUUUUGCUUAUACUUUAUUUUUAAAAAAAUAGAGGGGCCAUUAUGAUUUUUAAUUUGGACUUAUAAAAUGGCUAGCUUGGACUUUAUUUAUCUUUUAUUUUUUAAUACGCUUUGAGUUUCAAAGUCACCUGAGAGUUGCCUAUAAAUUGGCAACUGGCAUCCCAUCACAAACACACACAGUUCCAUAAAUUCAAGAAAAUAAAAAAUGGGAGCUCAAAAUUUCACAACCCCAACCUCAAAUUCACACAAUGCUCUCACAUUUCUCCUCCCAAUUCUCCUAUUGAUCUUCAUGCCAAACAUGCACACAACAUUGGCAACUUCUUCUUCUUCUCAGACCUACAAAACCUACGUCAAAACUGCCUGCAACACAACCACAUACCCACUCAUUUGCUACAAAUCUCUCUCCUCAUACGCCUCCAAAGUCAAAUCCGAUCCUCAAAAGCUUUGUACCUAUGCCCUCUCCGUUACCCUAAAAGCAGCAAAAAACGCCUCUUCCGUAGUUUCAAAGCUUUAUAAAAAUACAGGAUUAACCCCAUCCGAGAAAGGGGUGGUCAAGGAUUGUAUAGAGAAUAUUAAGGACUCCAUUGACGAGCUCAAACAGUCGGUGAGUUCCAUGAGCAAUUUGGGGGUUUCGGGUUCCGACGUGCAAUUACAAUUGGAUGAUAUAAAGACUUGGGUGAGCGCCGUCAUCACGGAUGACGCUACUUGCACGGAUGGAUUUGAUGGUGUGAAGGUAAGCGCCGCGGUUAAGACCGCCAUCAGGAACAGCAUUGUGAAUGCUGCUAGGUUGGCUAGCAAUGCUCUUUCUCUCAUAGACAGCCUCAUUUACUAGUUCAACCCAUACCCUUUGUAUUUCCUUGUCUUUUUUUAUUUUUUAUUUUAUUUUACUUUGGUUGAUAUAGAAAGUUUACAGAUUUUAUAAUUUAUGUGUGUGUUUAAUGUAAUUAAAAGUUGUGUGAAAUGGUUUUGUGACUGUUGGAAGAGUGGUUUGUAUACUACUACUACUAUAUGUAAUGUUGUACAACAGAGGGAGUUUUGAGCAAUUUGAUAACAAAUAAGCAAACCCCUUAGCCCCCCAUGUUGAUCAAAGAUCCCAUCUAUAGUAAUUGGCGAUCGACAGAACUUUUAUUCUAUAGUUGUCUUUUAACAUUUUUGUUUCCGGUGCAUAAGAGCUUCCUAUGCGUGUAUUCUCAAAACAAAUAUAUAAAAAAUGAAGAUCUUCCCAUUCCCAUGUGAGUUCACAUUGAUGCAUGUAUGAAUUAUUCCAAAACCCUGUUUAUAAUAAUCCAACCCCGCAUCUUUCAGUGUAAAAUGCAAAUGCUAAACUAUUAUUGCCCAAUUUAAUUAUUUGCCAAACGUUCGGUGAAAUUAAAAGUCAAAGACGACAUGUAAGACAUGCAUGCAAGUUAAUAUUAGGGCUAGUUUGUUGGGGAGGAUUAGGCUAGACUAGAGAAGUAAAGUGAUUAUAUUUCAUGUGCAAUCAAUACAUAAUAUGGAUAUUGUUGUCUGAUUUGGAGGAUGAAAUUGAAUGAUGACUAUUCAUAAGAGGUUGAUGAUUAAAACUUAUCCCUUAUAAUCUCAUCAUUUUUAAGGGGAUAAGUUUUAGUCAUCAACCUCUUAUAGAUAGUCAUCAUUCUUCUUCCAAGUUCGGCAAGAUAUCCAUAUUAUGCCUUGAAUGCACAUGAAAUGUAGGCAUUUUACCAGUUUAGUCCUUCCUAUCACACAAGUGAACAAUUUAUUGACAGUGGCGCACGGUUUUAAUUUUUUUUGUUUAAUUAGAUUAUAAUUAUUUUAAAUUAAUGAGAGUUACACUUGAAGCAUGUGUUGUCAUAGAAGUAAUAGUGAACUAAAGCAAUGGUUAAUCUUGCAUAAUUAGUGUUUUUUAUUUCGAAAAAAGCAGCUAUGCAAACGUAAGAAAUGAAAUGAAUGUGUUGUGACUGUAAAUACAGUAGUUUUAUGCACAGUCGUCAGUUUUUCUUGUUGGUAAACAGUUCGUAAUUGAUAAAAUUCCCACACGGCAUCUCGGGUUUGUGAUGUGAGUUUUCUCCAAGCGCAAGGGUUUAUAAGUCAAAUUUUAAAUUGAUAUAUUCUUGCAUUAAUUCAAGCAUGGGAAUGGGGAUGAUCACAUGGAGAAUACAUGAUCUAAUGAUUCGAUAUCUUUUUUAGUCCUUUCGAACUUGUUCUCUUAUAAUUAAUUGAAAUUAGAAUCUCUAGAAAUUUUAAUUAAAAUAUGCUUGCAUUAGGUCAGUGGCACUACCCAACCAUCCAUCACAAUUACACAAACGUCCUUGGAAACCAUGUGUUAAGGUUCAACUGACUAUUUACUAAUAUCGAUACUAUCUUUAAUUUAACCAUCAUAUUCUGGCAUGUAUAUGUGUAAGAUUUUAUACAAAAUGUCUCGAUACUAUUUGUAGUGAAACUUUAUAUUCUUCAACACCAUGAAGAGCCAAAUAUCAUGAAUCUCUUUUAUAUCUUGAAAUAUUCAAAUAAUAUAUUGUGAAAGGAAAGGUAAGUCAUUAUAAGUGAUGGGUGCCCAUGCCAUUGCGAUUUGCCUACGUACGUACACCAUUCUAGAUGGAUAGAUUUAUAUACGACCUGAUUGGGGAAAGGAAAGGAACGCCUAAUAAAAUUCAUUCUGAAAUCAUGAAUUGAAAACUUUAUUGAGGCAUAAACUAAAUUCCAGAGCUGCGGCUGUGGAUAAGACACGAUUCUUGACUUAUAUUUAUUGAAAUAUAUCUAAACUUUGCACCACCCAUUAUUUACCAAUUUCUGUGUUUUUAACGUGAAGGGCAUGAAAGGAACAAGAUGAUAUGUCGUCUCGCUUUUUCUUUUUUCUUUCUUUUUGGUUAAGAUAUAUAUAUCUAUAUCCUCUUGCUUUUUGAUUCAUAUGUUAAAAGGAAAAGCUCAAGGAUUGCAUAAAGACAGAAACUUCGUUGCGGUGUCCCAAACCCAAUCCCCAAUCUUCAAUCCCAUCCAUUAGAUAUUUGUUGGCCAAACCAAAUGCAUGUGAAGUCACCUUGUAGUAAAUAGAUUGUUGACACGUGGUCUUCUUCAUCUUCAUAUUCAAAGCCUCACUCUCUCACGUGGUCAUCGUCACUACGCAACUUCCCACAAACGUCCCUCUUUGUCCGCUCCCGACAGUUUCACCUUUCACGCUCUCCAAUUUUGUUUUCACACUCAACAGUGUCAACACCACUCAUCCAUAUCUGUUUUUAGUUAUUGCUUUUCAUCACUAGUAUUAAUUCUUUAUGCGCACAAACGAUUCUAAAUUAUUGAUGCUUAAAAUAGAUCAGUGUGAGUAGUUGAUGCAUUAGAAUUCUGUAAAAUUAAAAUUUAUAAUUACGAACACGAUGCAUUAACGACUUACAGUCAUACACACACAACUAAGACUCAUAAUUGCGCACACGAUACUUCAACUUCUCACAGUUGUGCACAAGUCCUCGCAUGCAUUCUAGCAUAAUUUGGAAAUAAUUAUAGCCAAAGUUCAACUGUUAUUUUACCAAAAGAAAAAUAAAGUAGUUGUACGGACAUGGGGUUCCUUCAUGCCUCCCUUGAAAUAGUCUAAAACAGUUCAAAAGUUCCAAAAUCCAGAUACCAAAACAAGCAGCCUUCAUAGCUUCACACAUACAGACAGAGGAUUCAGAACACUUAAAGCAUAUUUUCCAUCUCUUCUAUAUCACAUACUGACUGAACUAUACAUAUCAAAACCAAACCACAUCAAAAUAGUUCUUACAUAAGAAAAAACAAAACAAAAACAAAAACUCAGAUUCAGAAUCUGCAGCUGUCAUCAGUGCUUGGAGGCAAACCUGUUGCACAAGGCCAAAGCAUUGCUAGUGCACUGUGCAACAUUAAGCACCUGAGCUCUGAUUGAGGCCUUGAUUUUGCCAUCCAAGGCCUUGCCAGAGAACCCAUCAAGGCAAGUAUUGUCAUCAGUCAAAGCAGCACUAACCCAAGUCUCCACAUUGCUCAUGUGCCACACGAAAUCCUGGCCCUUGGAUUUGCCCAUGUUCUUUAGCUCCUGGACUGAUUUGCUGAGCCUGUCCACGGUAUCACCCAUCUCCUCCAAGCAGUCCUUGACAGCUCCGUACUCCCUAGCCUUCAGCCCCUUAAAUUUGGCCAACUUGGUCACAAAUGUCUUGGCCUUUUGAGCCCUGGUUAGGCUCACGGACAGGGCAGCCUGGGCCAGCUGCCGAGGGCUUUGCUGGAUUGAAGUGGCGUAGGAAGAGAGGGAUUGGAUGCAGACUUGUGGGUAGGUGGUGGCGCUGCACGAGCUCUUUAUGAAAUUUGUAUCACUUGUUGUGGCUGUAGAGUUGGCUGUGCCAACAAAGUAGAAAAUGGGAAGUAGCAGCAAAAAAAAAGAGGCUCUAGCCAUUGAAGAAAAGCUUCAAACUUUGGACUGGGAUUUGAGAGUGGGAUUGGAUUUGGGAAGGUUAAGAUUUGAGAGUGAGGAGAUUGUAUAUUUAUAGAGGGUUUUAUGCUGAAUUUAUGUACACCGUGUAACAAUCCGUGUAUUGGGUUUAAUUUUUAUUUGUUUUUAAAAAUAAAAAUCUUCCUUUGCGUCUUCGAAAGCGGAAAGGGUGUGAUAGAUAAAGGGCUGUGGUAGAAAUAAAUAAAUAAGGGGCCACUAAAAUCCUUGUCAACUAAAUGAAAGCUUUGGCACAUGCCACUCUGUAUUUUUCAACCUUAAGUUAGUAAAUCAAUUACCUAACUCUUUGCCACCGACGUGACUUAAUUUACAUUUUAUGGGCAGAAAAUUGAAAUCGAUGAGCUUUGCUAGUAACGUGGGAUCCACAUAUUGGGAGGCUAUUGAUUGGGGACAAAAACUUGGCCAGGAAAUUAGUGUCCCCUCAUGUGAUGUGAUGAUGAGCAAAUCUGACCACGAAUCACGGAUUAUGAAAAAGAUUAUGUUGGAAUUCCUUUAAUUAUGCAACAAGAUUUAGGGAGGGAGUCGUAUAAAACAUAAGCUGCCGAAGUGACACUGUCUACCUGUAGCGUCACUGGUGGACUGAUAUAUGACUUUUCCAUGAUCACUGCGCUUCAUCUCGUCAACCAGUGCCUGUUAACUUGCAAACAAUUUGGGUUCAAUUUGACCUAAUUCAAAGUCCUCCAUGGGAAAGCAAUGUGAAGGGAGGGGUCAAAACAACUAGUUGUUUAUACAAGCGAUGUUGAAAAAUGGGAAACGAUGUUGAGAAAUGGGGAAUCGAAUCGACCAAAACGACAAAGUUUAGCUGAGGAAAAAUGAUGAAAGGUAGCAAAACCUUUUAAAACACUAAAAAGGAGAUGUGAAACCCAUAAUUUAAAAACUGUCCAAAGUAAUGUGAAAGGAACAUGAACUGCAAGGAAUGCUUUCUGUUUUUGUUUCACCUUCGAAUUAAAUUUCAUCAACCACCAAAGAGAAAAAAAAAAAAAGGUUACCUGCCAGUUCAUACUCAACAAGCUCAGUUGAAGGAAGACAAAGUCCUUUGCAGCUCUGCCCCACCCCUUCUCUCUAUUAUUUUUGGCUUCUGCUUCUGCUCUCAAAUCCCUUACCGACAUGAUAUUUUUCAGUCACUGGAUUAUCAGAAGGCCAGACACUAAGAUUUACUUCAUCUAUUAUGAACUCUAUUUGUUACCAUUGAUAUUAUUAUAUAAAACUAGUGGUUUUGUUUCUACAUGUCCAUUUUGAAGCACUGCGGAGAUUAAAAUAAAAAAGAGAAGAGAAUGCUGCUAAAUAAGCAAACUCUGCUUUUGGUUGCUUCUGUCACUCCAUAAGGACCCACCAAACUGCAUUAUUGGCAAAUUAUCAUAUCUAGUGCUGUGAAGAGGUUGAGAUAUGAACAUAAACAUUUCAAGCCUCUUCACAGCACGAGAUAUGACAAUUUGCAGCCGACAUACCCUCAUCAAGGUUCUAGUUGGUUGAAAAAACUGGCAUAGGUAUUAAUUGUACAUAAUAUAAACGAAUGAUUUUUUUUUUUUUUUUUUGGGAUAAGAUAUUUAAACUUAAUAUUUAUAUAUAUAUAUUUUGCUUGUCCUAUUUCAAGGGUUAAGAAGAAACACAAAAUUUGCAGCUAAAUAGAAGAUGUAAUAAGCAUAUGUUUAUUAAUGCGGACGUAAUAUUCUGUAAUAAUCAUUUGAGCUGAAACCUACGAUGUCCCUAUCAAUAAAGCAAGCUAUUGCCUUGCAAAAGAAUCACUAGUGUAGUGGUUUAGAGCAAUUGCUCCCCCAUGCAAGGUCUUGAACGUGAGUCUUAAAAUUCGUGUAGUAUAUAUGAGUUUAUUAUGUUAUCGUCUUUCUCAAUUGAAAAAGUCCUCAAAAAACAAGCUUUAUUGCCAUGUUUAUGAACAAUUUAUUGGAUUAACAUUGUAAUUCCAGCUUUAAUGAGCAUGGUUAUGCCAAAGAGAAGAGAAUGUCUUCGAUUGAUCAUGAACAACGAGGACCAAUUGUUUGUUGGGAUGUACGAUUUUUUGUGAAUCAUUGAGCUCAAUAAUGCCAGGUCAUAAUGAAAGAGGCUGAAAAUAAAUAAUAGUAGAAGCAUCUUGUCGAAAAAGAUACUCGAAUGAUACCUAAGGGGAUUUAUGAUAUAAAUUUACCAGGUAGAUUUGAAUCAGCACAUGUGCAAUUAUAGUAUAUUAUAUAGCAAAUGAAUUGAAAUAUUAUUGCAUGGUAGCUGGGAUUUUGGGUUAACAUUAACCUAAUUAAUCAUCUGUCCUUUUACAUGCACUGCUGGCUGGAGCUUGUGGACUAAUGCCAUGGUUUCUUCAGUUAAGAAAAAUGAAUUAUUUUAUUUUUUCUUAUGUUGGAAAUUUACAAGUUAUACAUUUUAUCUACUGAACAAAAUUUUUAAUCACAUUUCCUCUGAAGCCUUUUUGCAGAUAAAUUCAUGUGUCUUCUCUGUCAUAACGAAGGCACGAAAGAGAUGAACAGGUGAGGUGGGGUUUUGCAGCCACGAGCAGCCACAUUCACUUGUCUGCAGGGAGGACCCAAGGCCAUUUAGGAUCCAUGUUGAGCCACGAAGGAAGGACCCAAGGCCAGCUAGAGCUAGGGGCAAGCCAACCAGGAGAUUUUAAUUUUGUGGAAUUAAACCUCAACACUACAGAGAUGGGACUAUUAGUCCAAUCCUCUCUCCACCAUCAUCAAUCUCACUCUCUCCACAUCUUCCAAUCUACCCACAUUGCCAUAAAUCUUAAUUAAAAGCUCAAAAUUGUAUUCAUUAUCAGGCUCCAGCUCAAAAAGCCUUUCAGCUGCAACCUCUCCAAUAUCUACAUUGCCAUGAAGGUAGCAAGCAUACAGUAAUGCACCCCACACAGUUGGACCAGCCUCGAACUCCAUUCCAUCCACUAUGAUACCAUAAGCUUCUCUGAUUCGACCUGCCCUUCCGUAAAGAUUCACCAUACAAGCAUAAUGCUCCAUAAUUGGGCUAAUUCUAUAUCUAUUUUUCAUGACAGAAUAUAACCUCUCACCAUCCUUCACCAAACCUAAAUGGGCACAAGUCGAUAAUAUUGACACGAAUGUGAUACUGUCUGGCAAGGCACCAGAACUCUCCAUCUGCUCAAAAAACAGCAAGGCUUCCGGGCUUUUAGAAUGAGCUGAAAUCAUAGUAUUCCAUGUUAUGACAUCCCUCUCAGACAUAUGACAAAACAACCACCUUGCUCGAUUCAACUUGCGAUGAUUCGAAUACGCUGCAAUCAAGGCAUUGGCAAUAGACAAGUUCCACUCAACUCCUUGCCGAAUUACCCAUCCAUGGAUUUGAAUUACAAUCUCCAAUGAUGACUCUGCAGCUCCGAGGAUAGUGGAUAUGGCAACAGAGUCUGCCUGGUGCCCUUCAUGAAGCAUUUCAUGAAAGAUGUCCAAAGCCUGCGACAGAAGCCCAUGACGCAUAUAACUCGUGAGCAUGGUGUUCCAAGAGACGUGGUCUCGACUAGUAAUCUUAUCAAACACUUUCCGAGCCUUCACAAUGUCACCACAUUUGGCAUACAUGUCCACCAAUGCAUUCAGCACAAACCUAUCAUUCAAUAAACCCAAUCGCACUAUAUGGCGAUGCACAGCCUCACCUAUUUGAAUGAACCCUAUUCCCCCACAAGCUUUCAAAACACGAGGGAACGUGAACCGGUCUGGUUCAACUCCCUCUUCCUCCAUUUGGAAGUAUAGCGCCAUAGCAUCCUCAUACAAACCCAGUUCUGCAUACCCCGAGAUAAGUGAAUUCCAGGCGAAAGCAGACACGUCCCUCUUAGGCAUUUCAUCAAACACCUGGUGAGCCUCCUCGAUAUAGCCAUGCGAAGCAUAGAGCCGAAGAAGCUUGGACGAGAUGCCUACAUUUCUACGUAAAACGCUUCUUGGGAUAAGACGGUGAACUCGGAGACCGUAGUCCAUGGCUUGAAAUUGAUAGCAUGUUUCUAACAGGGAAGCAAAAGUUUCGGUAUCGACGUUUAUGCCUUUACCAAUGGCUGCUUCAAGGUCAUUGACGACGGCGUCGAGGGCUUGGAGCUUGGUCUGGGAAUGGGGUUUAUGGCAGAUAAUGAGGGGGGUUGGGAUUGUUUUCGGGAAAGAGAGGGAGUUGUUGCUUUGAUUUUGGCUAACUUGUUUUUGCUUCUUGUUUUUCUUGCUCUUGGAAGAGCAGAUGCUCAGUUUUGCGGUGUGGAAACUUAGCGGUUGUAAAGUGGUCACCAUUUGUGAAAGGAUUGUUGGACCAAACCAGAUGAUGGUCAUGGAAAGAAACUGAAAACAAAUUUUUAUGAGUUGCUUGCUAGUAUGGGAAUGGGCCUAUGAAAACUAGCCCAAUUGCAGAUCUUGAACUUGAUUCAAAUAAAAUGAUGAUCUUCCUUCUUCUUCCUUUUUCAUUUUUUCUGUGCAUAUUGAAAUGAACCCUUUAGGAUUUAGCUCUCUCGAUAGAACAAAGUGACAAUAUUUUUCUACACAUGGGUAUAUUUUACGUAAUGGAAUCUCAGUUGAAGAUUUCAUCCUUUAAAUAUAAGAUUAGCUUUAGAAUUAACAGUAAUGGGAUGGGCCUCAUUUAGCUUGAGAAUUAACAAUAAAGCCCAAAGUUAUGUAUCUUACAUCAUCAUUACAAUGUACAAAGCAGUCUCUGCAUUCAUCUUCGCUUAUCAUCUAAUUAAUCAGCAGAACUCACGUAGCAAUUGACCUAUGCAUUACACCAUCAAUCAAACCCAAACUCUACUCUGAAUCAAAGAAAACGGUAAAAAAAAAAAACUCAAAAUUAAAGAUGGUUUAUUGAUCUCCUUUAAAAUUGGAUUUCGUUUCGUGGUCGAAAGGGAUGUUGCUUUGCUUUGCUGCCUCAACACUCAAAGUUUAUUAUGACUAAUACAAAAUAGUUGAUUGGUUAUGAGCAGCAAACAACUCUACCAGACCAACCAACACCUUUGAAAAUUUACAACACACGUUGAAUUAAUGGAGAAACGUUGCAACUCCAAUUUUGUUUUUUUUGUUUUUUUUUUGUUUUUGGCAGUUUAAUUGAUUAUGAUUGGUAAUAGCUUAAUGACAGCAGAUAAACUCAUGCAUUACAUCACUAAUUUAGGUAAUGAUUUCGUAAGGUUUAGAAUACAAAAACAAGUUAUGGUUCCCUUUUCUAGGUUUUAUUAUUAUUAUUAUUACUUUCUGUUUGGUAGGUCUUCACACUCAGGGGUUCAGAUUUUCUAAAGCUGCAAAAAAAAAAGUGCGGAUCGUUUGGUUGUAAGUAGUUAGCAACACUGUACACAUAUUUCACUAUCAACAUUGCAUUUGUAUACAGUAGCAUGUGAUUUGCAAGGGGAAAAAAAUGAUUUCUCACCUAUAUCUAUUCACAAGACCUUCGUAUAGUGAUUUUGGUUUGAACAGAAUCGAAAUUAAAGUUAAGUCAAUUCUUAUGAGUUAAUACUUAAAAUUCACUAAAUAACGACAUAAAUGUUAAUUCAAUUUAAAUAAAAUAAUUCAGUAAGACCGAGCCACUAGCCGUGAAAGUUUACAAAAAUCCAACUUGUAAAAUGAAAAAAAGCACAAAAAUAAGAUGGGCAAAACCAGAAACACAAAUGAAAUUUUCAAUGGUGUGUGGUGACGAUAUGGGUGAUGAAAUGCCUAAGUAAGAGUGAGACGAAGAUUGAAGGAAAGGUGGAGAAAUUGUGGUACAAUUUGAAAAAGGAAAGAGAUGGAAAGGCAAUUGGGCGAUGCUUAGGUGUAGCUUUAUGAUUGGCUGCAGAAUUUGCCAACUGAAAUCCCCCACAUGGAUGAGGACAAGUUUGGAAUAUAAUCAAUCGACAUCGUGCGCUCCUAUAUUAAUAUUUGGCCUCACUCUUAUAUCAAGCAACUGCAUUCACGCGUCUGUAAAAUUAAUUAACCCUAAAUUAUUUAUUCCUUUUAUAAUUUUAUAUUAGAAUCCUUGGAUAGGACUGAGGCGGGCAUGUACUUAUCACCACAUCCACAAUGCGACUGGAAUGAUACCCUUGGAAAGGGCCUUUUGCUUGGGCUAUGCAUGCGCCAUUGGGACCAAAAUUGCACAAAUCAAAUAAUUUCUUCACUAAUUUCUUAUGAGAAUUUAUUCAUAUAAGAGAAAGCACCAAAGGGUUUUCUUUUCUUUUGAUACUCUCAAAAUUCUUAUGUGGCGGUGCAUGCUUAUGAAAAGUUUGAUAAAGGUUUCUUUAGUUUCAAACCAUAAAAAAAAAAAAAGAGAAGGGGGGUUAAUCUUUACUUCGUUUUUUGAUUGAGGAUGGCAAAAGGUAAAAAAGUAGGUUUGGUAAAUGCAAUAUUUUUCUCAACCAAAAGCAAGGGAAGGAAGAGGAGGAACAUGAAAUUAUGGGUAUGCCCAAUGCCCCAUGUGUGAGACGAAAAGUUUUGGUUGGUGGUGUGAAAGGAUUAGAGCUUUGCCAAUUUGGUAGCCAGGUCAUAAAAAAAAUGAAGGCUAAAUGCCAUGGAAAGUGUCAAUUUAUAUUUGGUCCAAAAUUUAGUUGUGACAUCCACGCAAAUAAGUCAAGAGCGUGAGACUUAGGGUACACAUUUUUUCUUUUUUCUUUCUUCUUCUUGAUUUCCCCUAAAAGCAAGGCAGCCACUACACACAGUUAGUAUAUAAAGGAAGGUGAGUGGGGCUUUGGCGUAGCAAGUACUACACACUACACUUAACAGCACAAACAAAGUGAUGGGAAGGCAACCUUGUUGUGACAAGCUUGGUGUGAAGAAAGGGCCAUGGACUGCUGAGGAGGACAAGAAAUUGGUGAAUUUUCUCCUCGCACAUGGCCAAUGCUGUUGGCGUGCAGUCCCCAAGCUCGCCGGCCUCAGGCGCUGCGGCAAGAGCUGCCGCCUCCGGUGGACUAACUACCUCCGGCCUGACUUGAAAAGAGGCCUCCUUAAUGAAGCUGAGGAGCAACUUGUCAUUGACCUCCAUUCCCGUCUUGGCAAUAGGUUUGCUUUUGUUCUUUCUUUGCUAUACUUUUCUACUGCUUUUGUCACCAACCAUUCUCUAGUUUCUUCGGCUUUUAGGACCCAUAAAUCAUAUAUAACAUUAUAAUCAAAUUUUUUUAGACAUCACACUGAUUAAAGAGCUUAAAGCUGUAACAACUUCAGCUGUGCAAAACAGCACUUGCUAUGCUUAUUCUAGUAUAAAUAUCACUUCUUUUAGGUAAGCUUUUUUGUUUUGUUUUACUUGACAUGUAAUUAGCAUAAUUUGAGCUGUGAUUUUGCCUCCAGGUGGUCUAAAAUUGCAGCAGGAUUGCCUGGAAGAACUGACAAUGAGAUCAAGAACCACUGGAACACACACAUCAAGAAGAAGCUUAUCAAGAUGGGCAUUGAUCCAAUCACCCAUGAACCUCUAUGCAAGCAAGCCACUCCACCAGAAAUGCCUUGUAAACCAAACAAUCCACCUGCAGAUUUAGACAUGAAUCAGCAGAACGUGAAUAUCCCAGAACAUGGAAUCUCUUCUGCAGCUGAAAGUUCCUCAAGCAAUGAAUCCCAGCCAUUGGAGCCUAACCUAAAGAGUGAAGAUGACCCGUUGAUGAGCUACAUAUUAUCCGAUACAUUCCUGGAAGAUUUGACAUGGGAUUUUUCAGCCUCAUCAGAAGAUAGCUCAGCAGCUGAUAAUCCGGCGGAGGAUAAUAGCUUAGCAUGGUUCUUGGACUGCAAGGAUUUUGGAGUUGAAGAUUUCGAGCUCGGGUGUAUCAAUUAGUGACUGACACACGGUCAUAUAUUUUCAGUACCAGAACCCACAAAAAAGUUACCAACCAAAGCGCUCUCUCUCUCUCUCUCUCUCUCUCUCUCUCUCUCUCUCUCUCUAAGAAGUACAUAGCCAAACAAAGUAACCAAUAAAAAAAAGAAGACGACUUUGUAUGUUGGAGACUUAAUCAUUCUAUCUGAAAAAUGAUGAGGCAAAGGAACGAAAAGACCAACAACUUGUUUAAGAGAUCUGUUUAUUCUCUUUAGCAUUUUGAUUGAUUCCCACUAACACUAUUUAGUGGAAUAUCUGUAAUUUAAAAAUGUAGACUAGUUUGGCCAGCCAGUGGCCAAUGGCAUCAAAAUAUGGGUUGGUAGGUAGGGUGUCCUUUUGCAACAAAAACUACCACACACCAAUUUGAUACAUUUAAGCUCAGUUUUUUUUUAAAUAGCUAAAAAUAAGUACAACUCUGUGGAUGGAAACCCUCAAAUUCACGUAAUUGCAUAUGAAGUUUUCUCUUUUGAUGUCCUUAUCCAAUGAUUUUUCUGGAGAGUGAUAUUUCGUUCUCAUUUUCCUGUCUUUUUGGCUAAUAAAUAAAUAAGCAUAGAUCAUCAAACAUUCUUUAGUUUUAACUAUUCUGCAGAUUGAAUAGUGGGGUAUUUUAUUUUAUUUGGCAUUAUAUGAUAAUUAAGUAAAAAAAUGAAAUGUGAAAUGAGACGCAUCAUCAUCACGCACCAGAAGCUAGAGCACCAUUGUUAUUAUGACACUUUCUUGCCUUCCAAACACGUACUUUUGGCUAUUAUAAACACCAAAUUAUUGUAUAUCUUCCAAAGGGAGAAGGUGUUUUAAGUGUGGACUCAAAAAGAUGAAACCCUAAUUUAAAACCCACAUUCUUUUACAUAAGAAAAAACCCAGCAUCAUUCCAAUAUCCACUAUUAGAUUUAGAUGUGGCACUGCCGUAUAUUGUCUGACAUAUGCAUAUCCACAAGUUUGGCUACAAUUUAUAAGCAAACGGCUUCAGGCUUUCAUCCCAAUCUUGUUUCUAGAAGAAAAUUUAUUCAAAGCAAACACCGGAUUCGCCGCUUAUAACAUAAAUGGAGCUCAUCAUCUUUUAAUUGCUGCCAAAUCUCCUAUAUUUUGUAGAAAUUUUUUACUUAUGCCUUCCUAAUCCAAAGUGAAAAGAACAUGAUUAUGUUUAAUCUAACUUUCCAACUUGCCUGUUGCUCAUGAAGACAAUAAGGUUACAUUACAUCCAACCAUAUCCAAGAGACCAUGAUCAUAUAUUGCCUAAGUCUAAUUUUUAACCCGCAGAUUUUAAACAGCUCACUAAAAUUAAAAAGGGACCAAAAUUUUCUACUGAAAAUAUAUAUAUACAAGAAAACUCAUCGCGUAAUCAAGACCAAAAGAUCUCAACAAGGCCUUUUGCAGUGAUAAUAAUCCAUUUUUAGAAUGGAAAAUUAGUGAAACAGUCAAGUGAGAUUAACUAGACCAGCUUCAGUAGCAGCCUACCUUUGCCCUUCAGGAAGAACAACUGCUAUCACUGAAUUGAUGAGGCACUUCCUGAACUAUUCAUGUUGAUGACUUUUCUCCAACGAACCGCAUUUAAAGGGACAGUAAGCUGGGAGCACUAGGUCUAGGUCAGAGCAUAGAUUUGUUAAAGGCUUAAAGCAGCAAUGUCUACUGUCAUGGAACGGAUGACUUUGAGGCAUCUGGGGACUCCUUGGCGCUCUUCACUAGAAGAUCAUAAUUGAUAGAAGCUAGCUGCGACAAGUUCUGAGAACAGAAAUAACACAUGAAUGAUGCUAAAUCCCUAGAGCAAGAACCACCACCAUUCAUUUUUCAUCUAGCAUCUAAAGUCCCUUCCAAUGGAGAAAAUAUGUUCAGGUUCACAGGACUUACCUUAAAUGAAAAAUUACUAAAUGAGUACUGCACAUCAAGGGUUGGAGCACUAAAUUCCGCCAAACUGCCAAAUUCAUCCCCCUGAAUCACAGACAUACAAUGGUCAGGUGGCUAAAAUAAUAGUCCCACUAGAAUGCACCAGGGUCAACAAAUUUAUGAAUUCAAAGUAUAAUUCUUAACGGAUUUCAAGCACACUUUGAAAUCAUAUCUUCGGUACAUCCUUGUAGUCCAUAUACUUCCAUAUCAACUUGGAUGCAGUAAGAGCUAUGGUCUGGCCUUUAACAGCUCUAUGUGCAUAGAGACUGGAAAAAAAGAAAAAAGACAAAAAGAGAUCAUAUGUAGGAGGAUGCAUACAUCUUCGUCUUGUAUGUUGCUACAUGAACCGCUGCUGCAUGUUUCAGUCAUUUCAUCAAAAUCGCUGGCGCCAUUAACAUGCUCAUCUUCUGGAUUCCAUAUGUACCGGCUCAUGAAAUAACUUGUAUCAUGUACAUCUGUUGAUGGUAUGAACAUUGCCUGCAGCCAAUAUAUAUGGAUACUCUUGACUAUCACAGAUAUACCAAAAAUCAUUUUAAAACUUGAAUAAAUAUAACUUGAAAUGACCUUCUGCCUCGCAAGUGUAUCCCAGUUAAUAUCCUUGAAGAAAAUAUGUUGCUUCACCUGCCAGAAAAGACACAAAACUUAAUUCUAUCUUCAUUCUGACUUACAAAUGAAUUUUCAUCGGUAGUCAAUAAAUUACCUCCCUGGAACCUGUUGCUCCAAGUCUUUGAACUGGGUUUUCGGUCAUCAAUCUGACAGGAGGCCAAAGGAAAUGUAAGUAAGAUGAAGGCAUGCUGUCUUCAAAUUCUAAAUGAGAGGACUUUAGAUAUCUUAGUCUGACAGACCUCUCUUGAAAAAUAGAGGCACAUUAGAAAUCUACAUAAGCAGUCACAAUAAAAUUGUAAUUAAUACAUCCAGAAACAUAUCUCUUGUAAUCUUUCUUACUUGUCAAUCAAAUCGUAUGCUUCAUAGCUCAUCUCCUCAGGUACCUUAGGCCAGGGAAUAUCUCUGUUUAUUAUAUUGUUGAAAAUUUGCUGCAAUAAGUAGGAUCUAUAAGUAACAGUGUCAAAUUUUUCACCCAAGACUCUCAAAUGAUCUGGCAUUAAAAGAUGUUACAAUUCCCGGUUAUAAGGAUCAGAAAAAAUCAUUCAGAUGUUAAGGAUGCUAUAAAAGACUUGGAGCAAUGUUAAGUAGAAAUAAGAGCAAUAGAGAAAUACUGUAGUGCAGAAAAUAUACAACGAAAUGUAAAACCAAUAAAUGAUAAAUUCAAUAAAUUUUUGGUGAAGAAUUGAACGAACAGGCUGUAAGAACCACCAGAAAAAGAACUUAAUCCUUCAUGAACAGUCCAAAAAGAACCACCAGAAAAAUUUUAGGAACAAAAUAUCAUCAGAACAAACUGUUGUGCCAAUGAAAAUGAGGAGAAAGAUUAAUGCUCAUAAGAUAUUCAUGAGUUUACUGAAGAGUGUGUAUAGAAUUUAUGCAUAUAUAUACACAAAAUCCUCUCUUAAGUUCCUUAAGUAAGGACCUGUUUUUUUUAUGACAGAAGAUGAUUACAUUCAAUAAAGAGGGAAAAGAAAAAAAACAAAAUACGCCCAGCAGUCCAAAAACAAUUUAAAUUAAUGCCCACCAUAGUUAGACUGCAUACCUGUGGAUGCUCUGCAUUGAACGGUGGAAGACCAACAAGCAGCUCAAAAAGAAUAACGCCCACAGACCACCAAUCAGCAGUUGCACUAUGCCCCAUGCCAAGAAGUAUUUCAGGUGCCAAAUAAUCAGGGGUGCCAACAACUGAAUGUUUCUGGCGCUGUGUCCUUUCUGAUGAAGGCUGAGUUUUUGGUUCAUCAUCUCGAAGAAAACCAGUAUCACUAACUGAUGGACCUGAUAAGUCAUCAGUGCUGCUGAUUAGACCAACCUUGGAGAGCCCAAAAUCUGUCAACUGUAACAUAAGGGAUUAGACAUUUGUGAGAAGUGACAAGUAAACACUUUAUGGCAGAACCUAUGCAGAUGAUACCCAAAAAAACAGAUGCAUGAUAUAAUACCAGAAUGCUUUUACUAUGGCCAAACUUAUCUCCAAUUAUAUAAAAGAGGGGGGGAAUUAUGUAAAAGAACUAAGACCGCUAAAUAUUGACCUUGAUGUGACCAUCUUGACCAAUCAACAGGUUGUCUGGCUUCAAGUCUCUAUGGACAACAUUUAAUGAAUGCAAAUACUCCAAAGCAAGAACCUUUAAAAAGAAAAGAGUAAACAAAAGAUUACUUGUACUGUUAUACCAUCUAUGAGAAAAAUUUUAGAGAGAGAGAAAUGAAAAGGUGAAUCUGGAGAGGAAAAUGGAACAAAAGAUACUAGUAUUCCCUUACAACUUCUGCAAUAUAUACUUUGGCCAUAUCUUCAUCUAAGCAGCCUAGAUUUCGUAGUAAAGAGUACAGAUCUCCACCAUUUAAGUAUUCCAUGACCAGAUACAGGUUUUCCCUGCAUGUGAACGAAUAGAAAAAUCGGACCUGCUCAUCAUCAGAAGUACGUAUUAGAAAUUAUUUCCAAAUGCAAUGCAUUCUUAAAGUGAACUGUACAUUUUGGGGGCCCACUAACCACAAAAGGAUUGCGAAGCAAUAUAAGGAUGUUACGCUCCGCCAAAAUACUUUCAACAGCAUUUUUACGAAUCAUAUCAGCCUUCUUUAAUACCUUCAGAAAUGUACCACCAGAAUCAGUUCUGAAAACCGACUUAUCUUGAAACAUUUACUUGCAAUUAAAAGAUGGAAGCAUUUUCCAUGGCUGAAAACACAUAGAAACAAACAGACCUUUAUAGCAAAUAAGUCACCAGUCGCUCUUUUUCUGGCAAGAAAAACUCGCCCAAAUGCACCCCUGCUUAUUGGUUUUAUUAUUUCAAAAUCUUCAAUAGAUGUUCGAUCCUUUGAACACGGAUUGAUGGGGCUGGCACGCAGACUACGAACUGCUUCAUCUUCAACUGAACUUUCUUCGUCAGCCAUACCAUUUGAUGGAUCCACUUUCUCAUCUUCUAUCUGCCCACAAAGAUGUACAUAUUUUUCCCUGUAAAUUUCAGAAUUAUCAUUAUAAUCAGAGAUGCUUUUACUGGAUUUUAAAUAAUUAACCAAUCAUUUGAAGAAAUAUGAAAAAUAUAAUGACGACAGAAGAUAAAAAUGAGACAAUUUUGUUAAUACUCGAAUCAAGAAAAUCUUUUGAGGGGAUUCACAAUUGUACAAACCACAAGAGACAUGCAGUAAUAAAUUAUGGCUUCCACUCACUGCAAUAAUUUUUCUAUACGCCUUCCAAAAGUCUCCACAACAAGGGCAUCGACCUUCCUAUCCUGGAUGGCGUAUUUUAGGUCUUCCAGUCGUUCAAGCAUGUACUCCAAUGCACUGUAUUCACAAUUGCUAACAUUUGCGAUGGAACGGGCGAUAUCCAGUAGCUUAUGAAUCUGUCAAUCCAUGCUCUAAUCAAAAUAUGAACAUGAAGGGAGCAGAGUGUCUAUAGCAAACAAGAUGAACCAAAAAUGCAUUCAACAAGAGUUUCAGUUGCAGAGCAAUAAUACGAAGUUAAAACAAAGUAUACUGACUUCAUCUUUGAGAGAAAAAGAAGUAACGGCAGAAUUCUGGUCAGAAGGAAAAUAGAAGUGGGUCACCUGCUGAUAACUCUCAAGUUCUGGUAUUGCUCUCCAUCCACUCAACAGCAUUUCAAUCUGACUGGUUCUUGGUGUUAAUAGUGGUGAUCUUGGUGUCGAGCUUCCUGCCGACGAGGUUCUGGUGCCUUGUUCAGGUGUCAAAGAAGAACGCAUGUCACAUGGCAUGUCAGGCAAAACAUUCAGAUCUUCCAUGACAAAAGAAUUGUCAGCAUCAGGAACGCAAUCAAGAAUGCCUUCAGAGAAACGAGGAGACAAGUCAUUUCGUUUUGGUGGUGACAAAUCAUCUAAAUCUUCAUGCAUCCUUGUUGUAUAUACUCCUGAAACAUCAAAACUUCCUCGAGUUUCAGUGCCUUUUAGUGUCCAAGAUUCCAUUAUCCUUUCAAGAGCUUCAGCAACUCUUUCAAGUCGAUCAUUCACAGUUAAACCCUUCAAGUCACACCUAUCAGCAAUCGUACAUAUUCGGGAGUGCUCCUCUACAUGUACAGUUGGUAUUUCCACCUCACAUAUGCGACAGAUCAUCAAAUUCUCGUAUGAAACAUUCUGCUGAUCCAUCCAUAAUCCCCAAGAGAUUCUUUGUGCACUUGCAGACACCUCUGGGGGUUCAGGUCGGCAUGAUGGAGUAUCCACAUUGUCGCUACUAUACUCCCCACAAGUUUUUGUGUCAUCUUUGGCAUGCAAACGGUCUGAUUUGUCGUUUGGCGGUGUAUCAGCAGCAUCAUGGCCUUUCUGAUUCUUCUCAGCAGCAGAUGGAAGUUUUUUCCAAGAUGACAUCCUAUAGCUGCCUGUAGAUUCAACGCUUUUGGCAGUGUCAACCUCCACAUCAUCAGCAGCACUAACUUUUUCCUGCUCAUGGGACUUAUUCAUGUGCUUCUCAUUUGCAUCCUUACCACCCAGUUGGCCACUAAAGCUCUGCUGUGCACCCUCCAAAAUUUGUUCAGGGUAAACACCAAGAUCACUGAGCUGGUGAAGACUGAGAAUGUGCUCUUCCUCAUAACCACUCUCUUUUUGGAACUGCACAAGCCGUGUGCACCGAGUGAGAAUAAAAAGAAGACGGGUGUGGGCUUGUUUGAGGGCCCCCAUUGGUAGCUCUUGACGCCGGUCAUCCAAUUUCUGAACAAUGGCUUCGCACUUCACCCAAAAUUCACCAGGCGACAUCUUUGCACACCGCCGGGCAACAACCAACAGAUCCUCAAAAUUCUCUUUCCAUUCAGGGUGAGACUCCGAAGACUUUUCAAGUAUUCCCACCAAAUCACCAGCAAAUGCACCUAAAUCAAAGUCAACAUCUUCUUUUAACCUCUCAAAUCUUGCCCUGACCGCCACCAUAAUCUCCUAGACAAUUUUACAACAGCGACACAGUUUAAUGAGAUCGGGCAAAGAACAAAAUAAAAUACUAUAAGGCAUAAAAAUUUAUAAUAUAAAUUCAAAUUUACCUCCAUAUGGCCAAAUGCGCGAGACUUCCACACGGGAAAUGGUCGAACUCCUUUAGAGUUGAGCUCAUGAGAGAAACUUUUAAUGUCAUGUGUCCUCUUCUUUCGCCCACUCGUAACACGCAGUAUUGCCUGAAAACGCGGCGACUGCAUUUCCUUUGAAAAGGCUGCAUGGUUACCCUACCAAUAUAUACAAUUACAUACAAACCACAUCAUUGUCAAGCUCGUGAGCUACCUGCAUUUCUCCAACCAACUACAUAUAUAUACAUAAGGCAAUUCAUUGGCAAUUUCUUUACCUCCGAGACUGGAUUGAGCAGUGAAGGAUUUCUGAGCGAUUUUGAUUGAUUCCAGUGCACAGGUUUCACUAUAAAGUAAUUGAAAAUUAGAAAUUAACAAAAAAUAAAUUACACUCACAAAUACCUGAUGAUCGAAUUCAUUAUUAGACGGAAAAGAACGAAUUAUAAUCCAAUAAAAUAAGAAUAUUAAAACGUUACCACAUUAAAGUUACGUAAAUACCUGGUUGUAUGGGCGUAAAUUUGGGUUUUGGCUUGACCGUGUACUUGACCUUAUUCGAUUCGUCACCGAAAUUCGAAGCCGCGCAGACCGACGAAGAGAAUCGAAGCGGGGACGGAGCCGAUCGAGUCCGAAUGUGAUUGAGGCCGAGCGACGAUGCCAACACGAUAGGCGCAUCAUCUGUUUUACGUUCCGUACGAACCUGGUCCUCAUACUCUUCGUCGUUGUCGUCGUCAUCGUCGUCGUCAUCUUCUUCUUCGAAUUCUUCAAAUUCUUCGUCUUCGUGGAUCGUGUGUCUGGGGCUUCGUCGAAUCGGGAUGGGGGGGAUUUUGAGGAGCUUAGCUCUGGAGGGAGAGGGUUGAGUUGGAGAGGACACGGACGACGUCGUUGCGGAGUCUAAUUUGCCGUCGGGGUCGGAAAUCAGGGGUGGCUUUGAAGAAGGCGGAGGAGAGCUCGACAUGGGGGAGAAAACAGUUCGGGUUUAGAUUUCGGAUUCGGAUUCGUCAUGGGAUUGAGAGAGAGAAGGGGGGUUGCUGGGGGAGAUUAUCUCGCGGGAAGAGAGAGCGUUAGAGAGUGACACGAAUUUAUGUGUUUUUUCGGUUGUGGGUUUGAAACGGGCUUCCCGCUAAGCAUGUAAUUGGCGCCGUUCCCCUGCAGACGGGACUACCGUAAGUUCAAACUUGAAGGAACAGAAACAGAUGCACAAUUGACAAACGAAAAGUCAAUUGCACUUAUUUAGCCUUAUUCAUCAACUGACCCAAAUCACUUUUGUUUUGUGGGCCGUCGUUUGUUUGAUUAUUUUCUUUUGGGCCUUGAAUGUAAAAGAUAAAACUCUUGCAAUUCCUCCUAUUCUUAUAAGGAAUUACGAUAAAACUCUUGUAUUUCCUCCUAUUCUUAUUAGGAAUUAGGAGCACUUGUAUAUAAAUAAGGGGUUCUUUUCUUUCUAUAGUCAAUUGCUUUACAUUCAAUUCAAAGCCAGCAAAAAAAUCUCGUCUGUGUUUUGAAUCAAUGGAAUCAGGUAUGUUUUCUUAAACAAAACUUCUCUAGGUUACUCGUGUUUUCCUUUCCUUAACUUUGUAAAUUUGUUUGUUUGCAAGUUGUUGUCAUGCUAUAUUUAGUAUUGUAAAUAUGCGAGCCUUUUAUAUUGUAUCUUGCUAUUGCAAAAAUUUCUAGAUAAUUCAUGUGUCCUACUCCUAUAAAUUUGAUGAAUAUUUGGUGAAAUAAAACAAAAAAUUAUAUCCUAAAUUAAGGAAAAUAAGGAAAAAGAGAAAAGCAUGACUCUAAUCUAAUACUCAGUUGAGUUGAAUUUUUGGCUACACAUGUUAUAUAAUCCUAUCAUACAAUAUUCGUGGGGAACCUUUCGUUUUUGUCAACUAAUGAAUGACACACCUGUUUUUUUUAGAACCUUUCAUAUAAAGAAGGGUGAUAAUAUACUAUAUUCAUGACCUUGUCUAAGAGAGCAAUUACUCUAAACUACUACAAUAAUGGAUCCUUUGCAUGAAAGACAGGCCCUAAAACACCCUAAGCUGCCACCUUAAUUAGUUUUAUUUCAAUCAGUUUUUAGGAUGUUGUUUAUUUAUAUAUAUUGUUUUAUAUCACUGUGUGUGUAAGGUUACAUCCUUCUAGAUUUGUCUUUAGAUUUUUUGUUCUCCAUUUGCUUCUGUAAUUUGAUUGUUUUUUAGUUGUAACAUGCCUAUCUUCUAAUAAAAGAAAAACAGGAAUUAAUGCACCUUUUAGUUUGAAAUUCUUUUUUACUGGUUUUCUUUUUUAAUUUAUAUCUUUGUAUCGUUCCAUCAAUUUUUACUUUCUAUGUUUCAAAUCAUACGGUUAUUUUUAUAAAGCUAUGGCCAAGAUUUAUUACACAUCUGCUUCUUCUUCAUCGCAUCUCUAAUUGAUUUUUUUUUCUUUUUUAUUUUUAGAUUGGGAAAGUUUGCCUGAGGAGCUUUUAGAUUUAGUUUUCAAGAGACUAGUGUUGCAUUUAGAUUCUUUACGAUUCGCUGCUGUUUGCAAGUCAUGGUAUUGGGUAUCAAAGAAUAAGCAAAUCAAUAGUGUUCCAAUGCUCUUGAUUCCUGAUAGAAAAAAAGAUACAUGGAAUUUAUGUGAUGUGACAAAUGAUAAGGUCCUCAAAAUGCAGUUAAAAUGGAUGAAGAAGCGAUUUUGUGGGUCUUCAAAAGGAUGGUUAAUAGUUUGUGAUGACAAUUUUGUGGUAACCUUAAUAAAUCCAUCAUUCAGGGUUAAAGGAAGAAAAAAGAAAAAAAAUUCAAUUAUUCGUCUACCUCCACUAAAUCCUCCAGGUGAAUACCACAAAGGUGCUUGUGCUAAACAUUGUGAAUAUUUUGUCUACAAGGCGGCGAUUUCCGCAGAUCCAAUAUCAAAUGCAAAUGACUGCAUUGUUGUGGUAAUAUAUAACCCAUGGUGUGAAUUGGCUUUUAUUAGACUUGGAGACAAUAAAUGGACAUACUGCGAUCGAUAUUGCCCAGAUUGUUCCUUUUUUGAAGAUAUUGCUCAAAUUGGAAAUAAAAGUUAUGUUCUUACAUCCAUUAAGAGACAACUUUUUAUUUUUGAAUAUACUACUCAGCGCAUCCUAAAUAUAAAUCUGGUGGCACCUCUUUAUGAAACAGAAUUAUACAUAAAGGCAUACCUUGUGGGUUCCAGUGAGGAAGAGUUAUUGUUGGUUCACCGCUAUGGUACUUAUACACAUCAUUGUCGCGUGACAAAUAGAUUUAGAGUUUUCAAACUGGAUGAUGAUAAGUAUGAGUGGAUUGAGAAAAAUGACUUAGGUGAUUUUGCUUUGUUUGUGGGUGAUAACUCUUCAAUAUCUGUCGUGGCUUCAAAAAUUCAAGGAUGUGAGUCGAAUUGCAUAUACUUUUACGAUGAUUGUGAUCUAACAAUAAGAGAUUGUUCGUUUACAGAUUUGGGGUGUUCAAUGUCAAAAGUCAAAGGAUUUUAAAGUCUGCGCAUAUUCUGACCCUGAUGAAGAAGUUGAAGCAAUCUCCAAUUUGGUUUUUGCCAUCAGUUUAUCUAUAAAAAUUUGUCACAUUUCUUCUUAUCCUCAAACAUUUAAAGAUAUUUUUCUAGGUUAUGUUUUAAAGAUGUAGAUUCAGUAUUAAAUCUUUGAUAUUUGAUACAUUUUUUUAUUUAUGGCAACUUGGUCAUGGAUUUUUGUUAGUGCACUAAUUGAAAACCGUAGAGAAACAUACAAGGACAAUUACAUUAUUGAAAUAUGUUACCCGAGCAGAUAUUUUUUAUGUUUUAUUUUUUAUCGAAAGGAAAUUAUAACGAAAUUACUAAUCACCAAGUGUUACGUGACUUUUGAGUUGGAUAUGAUUUAAUUAGAUGAUAAUGUUGAUUAAUCAAUGUGUGGACCGGUCCCGCAGCCAUUAUCUUUAAAGCAUAUAACAUUUCUUUUACUACAGUGAAAACUGUCAAAAUAUAAGUCUCUUUUACCGUUAUUCUAAAUUUGACAUCCACGGCCCAACUAGUUGGAUUUCUGGUCCGUCGUACGCAUACUGAACAUAAAAAACCUCCGCAGACCUACCUCACUACGGCGCCACCGGAAAAACAAUGCUCAGCCUCCUCCCCCGGUCUUGCCCAAAGCUCCGGUUCAAACCCGGUUAUAUAUAUCGGCUAUCCGGGCCCUAUUACUACCCGUCGCCGGUACGCCUUCUCCACCGCCACCGGUCUCUAUGGCUUCGACCACUUAAAGACCCCCAAAGGCUUUCGACGUUUCGUCGACGAUGCUAUCGAAAGGUCCAAACUUUGGAAAUCCCAAUAUUCAUGGCAUUUUGAUUUCCAUCAGUCUCCCCAUUUUCAUUCGUAUUUGUUUUUAGGUCCGGAGAGCUGGUUGCAUACAUUUCAGGGAUGCCUUCCUCAGCGUAAAUAAUAAGAGCCAUGGAUGAGAUUUCUAACAGAGUAAGGUCUCACAUUUUGUCUAAUUCUCUUUUUUUAAGAGUUGUUGGACUAAUUCUUUGUUAUACUCUCCAAUUGCAUAGGUCUGUUCUGUCAUUGACUCCGCGGAGCUUUGUAGACAAACUCAUCCUGACAGGUUAUUAUUCUCUGAAUUUUUUGACAUUUUUUUUUUUUGGGGUUGUUGGUAGUUUUCGAUGUUUCGGUAUUUCGUCGAUUUUCACUUGAUUGUGUAUUAGGGAAUUUGUUGAGGAGGCGAUCAAAGCUUCAAUAAGAGUUAAUGAAUAUCUACAUGUGAGGUGACGGUGAAUCGUCUUUGCAAGUGUUAUUAACUUUUUGCUCACGGUUUUGUUACGUAUAUAAAUUGUACUGUAGUCAUGAGCCAUUGCCAGUAUCUGAUUUGAAAAUUUUCAUCAUUGUCUUACAGUAUCUGAAUACAAAUCAUACUUUAUAUAAUGCCGUGAUUAAAGCUGAGCAAGAGGGCAACUUGCUCACCGACGAAGCUCAUAGGGUCGCGCAUUACCUCAGCCUUGACUUUGAGAGGAGUGGGAUUCAUCUUUCUGCUGGUACUUGCUCUCUUCUUGUCAUUUUAUGCUGCUGUAACAUCAGGGAUUUUGUUGCAGCUAAAUAACUCCUCACUUCUGCUUUGCAGAGAAAGUAGAUAGAGUGAACCGGCUGAGUAUAGAUAUUUCCCAAUUGUGCAGACAGUAAGUACACUAAUUUUUUUUUAUAUGUUUUUUUGUUUUGGCGUUCCUCUGUGCCAAUUGUUAACUGCAAGUUAGAACUUUUAGGCCUGCUACCAGGUUUAGGAAAAUAAGUUAUUUUCUACUGGUUUGUUUGACUAAUGCUGCCACACAAUUAUUGUGCUUGUAAGAUUUGAACCAAAGACACAGCUUAGGCCCACACUGCCCAUUUCCAUUAGAGCCUAGGGCCAAAAGUAUCUUGUUCAAGUUUUGCAAUGUUGUGGAGAUAUAAUUUUAACUGCUUGCUGAUGCUGUACCAUGCUUUUCAUUUUUGCUUUUAAAUCAAGAGCUUGAUUAAUUGACUUUACUUUUGCUUCAAAUGCAUUUGUUUUUGGUUUAGGUUCAAAAUAUCGUCAAUGACCCGGGUACUGUGGAUAUGUUCCCAGCGUCACUUAUACCUCGAAAUUUGCACCAUCUUCUUAAGCCCAUCUAUCGUUCAACAUCUGUAGUUUCAAAGGACUCGUGGAGGCCUGGGAGUACCAUGAACGAGAAGGGGUUUCGUAUAACAACAGACCGCCACACUCUAUCUUGUGUUCUGGAAGGGGCACCAAAUGAUGAGGUAACUUGAUUGUUGUUUGGUGAAACUCAACUUUCCUGUUUUCUGAAUCUUUUCUGGGGUAGGGAGUUAGGGCAGUAAGUUCUAGAUGCCAGAAUAUGGAAACUAAGUUUACACUAUGGAUGCACUUUCUUUGUUUUUUCUCAUUUGCUUUACUUUGCAAAUGAAAUUGGGCUUUGUUAUAUUGCAUGUCACGUAAAUUUCUUUCUCAUUUGCAUUUAUUGUGUUUUAUGCUUGUCUUUUUGUUAAUUAACUAAAAUUUAGUUUCAGGUCCGGAAAAUGGCAUAUAUCAAAGGAAAUUCUGUUCCUCAUGCAAACCUUGGUGUUCUUGACUUAUAGCUUCCCGCCAUGAGCUUGCUCAGGUUUCUCUAUACCUAAACUCCCAGCAUAUUCUAAUCUCUUACUCCGCCUAGUUCUCCUUCCACCCUCCCAUUCCCAUACAUAAAUUGCACGAUACUAUUCUAUACCUAAACUCCCAGCAUAUUCUAAUCUCUUACUCCUCCUGGUUCUUCUUCUUCUUCUCUUUCUUCUUGAUCUCAUUCUUGUUGAUCCUUGAAACUCCAGAUGGGAUACAAAUAUGUAUCUCAUGCUUGGGGUAGNNNNNNNNNNNNNNNNNNNNNNNNNNNNNNNNNNNNNNNNNNNNNNNNNNNNNNNNNNNNNNNNNNNNNNNNNNNNNNNNNNNNNNNNNNNNNNNNNNNNNNNNNNNNNNNNNNNNNNNNNNNNNNNNNNNNNNNNNNNNNNNNUCUUCUCAUAAACAAUUUGAGUUUUUCUCAAGUGAGGCUUAUCUCCUGUGGAUUUUUGAGUGUUUACUAUGGAUAUUUCUGAUCAAAAGGUUCAUUGCAAAGGUAACAGCUCAUUUGACAACAGGAAAAGCUUGACUGAGCACUUUGAUACAAUUCAUGACAAGACUCACAAGCUAUGUGGUGAGAAAUUACUUUGCAAGGAGCCCGUCUACCCUAAGCAUGAGAUACAUAUUUGUAUCCCAUAUGGGGUUUCAAGGAUCAACAAGAAUGAGCUCAAGAAGAAAGAGAAAAAGAACCAAGAGGAGUAAGAGAUUAGAAUAUGCUGGGAGUUUAGGUAUAGAAUAGCAUCGUGCAAUUUAUGUAUGGGAAUGGGAGGGUGGAAGGGGAACUAGGAGUAGUAAGAGAUUAGAAUAUGCUGAGAGUUCAGGUAUAGAGAUUAGAAUAUGCUGUUACUCUCCAGAGGCAAUCUUUGAAAAACAAGAACGUAUCUAUUUUCAAUCUUAUCAGUACUAUUUUCUAUAUCCAAGUUAUAUUAUUGCAAUUGUCGCUCAUCUUUGGCCAAAUAUGUUGUUCUUAUCAACAGUUGUGAGAAUGUUAUUUCAAGAUAUUCUUCUGCGCCAUUCACCAUAGUAAGUUUGAUUAAAACUGUGCAAGACCUCUUUCUUUUGUAUGUAAGACAGCCUCAUAUUAUAGUUUUCUGUUUCAGGAGAGAACUUCUGGUGCUAAAUUCCUUUUGUUUUACUUAAGGUGUAGGACAUAGUGAAGAAUUGUUUUACUUUAGGUUUAUUCGAAUCAAAUGGCUUCAUUAAUUAUUCAGCGUAUGCUACAAAAUUCACAUGGAUGGGUAAGAAUAACAGUUCAAGGAAACUUAUUAAUAUCCAUCAGAAAAUGAAUAAAAAUUGCUACUCCACAUUUGCCUCGCCAACUCCAGAAUGAAAUCUCUGCAGCUGUUAGCCCACGCUUGACAUUUGCGUCCUACAUUGCCUCCAACAAGAGCCGUGCCAUAGUUUUGCCUCUUCGCUCACCUUCUUUUCUUCAAACCCCUCCAUUUCAUUCCUUCCCUUGCUAUUUAGUUGACUAGUUCUUGUUAACUCAAAUGGAACACAACAAGGGCUGUUCUCUAUACCUUUUCCAACUUCAUUUCAUUACAAAGACAGGAAAUAUCAGGAACCAUUCCUCCAUUAAAAUUCCUCAGGAUCCCAUCUCCUACAAGACCACUUAACAAAUGGGAAGGUUCUUUAGCUCCCCCAUGCUGUAAGAAUUUUGUUCUUAAUGCAGUUCCCGUAGUUAAUGAUAGUGGAUCCUCCUGGCACAGUUUCUGCCAUAUUGUUGCGGCAAAACAUUUGGCAUACAAGUAGCUAUAAUAACC
rnacentral:lncRNA from 1 species